rnacentral:tRNA from 1 species
AUUGAGAUGGCAGAACAGUGCAUAGAAUUUAAGCUUCUAGUAGGGAGUUUUAACUCCUCUUAAUA